rnacentral:rRNA from 1 species
GAGUCAUUGGGACUAAACUAAACCUAAAGGCGCAAUGAAAGUGAAGGUCCGCCUCGCGCGGACCGAGGGAGGAUGGGCCGGUCCACGGGCCGGCCCCGCACUCCCGGGGCGUCUCGUUCUCAUCGCGAGAAGGGGCGCACCCAGAGCGUACACGCUGGGACCCGAAAGAUGGUGAACUAUGCCUGGUCAGGACGAAGUCAGGGGAAACCCUGAUGGAGGUCCGUAGCGAUUCUGACGUGCAAAUCGAUCGUCGGAACUGGGUAUAGGGGCGAAAGACUAAUCGAACCUUCUAGUAGCUGGUUCCCUCCGAAGUUUCCCUCAGGAUAGCUGGCGCUCGCUGUCGCGAGUCUCAUUCGGUAAAGCGAAUGAUUAGAGGCAUUGGGGCCGAAACGGCCUCAACCUAUUCUCAAACUUUAAAUGGGUGAGAUCUCCGGCUUGCUUGAAAAGUGAAGCCGCGAGUAUCGGAUCAGAGUGCCAAGUGGGCCACUUUUGGUAAGCAGAACUGGCGCUGUGGGAUGAACCAAACGCCGAGUUAAAGCGCCUAAAUCGACGCUUAUGGGAUACCAUGAAAGGCGUUGGUAACUUAAGACAGCAGGACGGUGG